rnacentral:tRNA from 1 species
GGAGGGUUGGCCGAGUGGUUUAUGGCGCAAGUCUUGAAAACUUGUGGGCGAAAGCCCUCAGAGGUUCGAAUCCUCUACCCUCCG